rnacentral:lncRNA from 1 species
UCUUGGACGUGCAGAAAAGGUUUGGCCUUAACACAGAUGGGUGGUUGACAAUCCAAAGUGCUGAACAGCCCUACAAGAUUCCUGCUCGACACCAUCCUUUUGAAAAAGAAUGGAGAGAAUGUGCACAUGGAAUUGGUGGUAUUUGGGGAGAGAAAGAGUGCAGAAUAGAAUACGACUAUUUCAUAGAGUGUAUACUUUGGCAGAAAAUGAUGAGAUGUGUGAGUACCAUCAGGAAGCAGUGGAAUAAGCUGAUAAAGGAAGGGAAGUACACCCCUCCACCUCACCACGUGGGCAAGGGGGAGCCUC